AUGCAGUGGAGCGACGACCGGGGCUUGCCCCGGGGCAGAGCCGCGAACGGGUUAGAAAUCGUGGGUUACCUGCCCCGAUGACUGGGACAACCCGUCGAAAGACGGGCUAAUACCGGAUGUGCCCUUCGGGGGAAAGGAAGCUUCGGCCUCCGCAUCGGGAUGGGCCUGCGGCGCAUUAGCUUGUUGGUGGGGUAAUGGCCUACCAAGGCUUCGAUGCGUAGCUGGUCUGAGAGGACGAUCAGCCACACUGGGACUGAGACACGGCCCAGACUCCUACGGGAGGCAGCAGUGGGGAAUCUUGCACAAUGCGCGAAAGCGUGAUGCAGCAACGCCGCGUGCGGGAAGAAGGCCUUAGGGUUGUAAACCGCUUUCAGUUGGGACGAAGCUUCGCUGGUUAAGAGCUGGUUGGAGUGACGGUACCUUCAGAAGAAGCGCCGGCUAACUACGUGCCAGCAGCCGCGGUAAUACGUAGGGCGCGAGCGUUGUCCGGAAUCAUUGGGCGUAAAGCGCGUGUAGGCGGCUGAGUAAGUCUGCUGUGAAAGUCCAAGGCUCAACCUUGGAAUGUCGGCGGAUACUGCUCAGCUGGAGUACGGGAGGGGCGAGUGG
rnacentral:rRNA from 1 species